rnacentral:rRNA from 1 species
CACGCCGUAAACGGUGGGCGCUAGGUGUGGGUUUCCUUCCACGGGAUCCGUGCCGUAGCUAACGCAUUAAGCGCCCCGCCUGGGGAGUACGGCCGCAAGGCUAAAACUCAAAGGAAUUGACGGGGGCCCGCACAAGCGGCGGAGCAUGUGGAUUAAUUCGAUGCAACGCGAAGAACCUUACCUGGGUUUGACAUAUACCGGAUCGCCUCAGAGAUGGGGUUUCCCUUGUGGUCGGUAUACAGGUGG